UCCAGACUCCUACGGGAGGCAGCAGUGGGGGAUAUUGCACAAUGGGGGAAACCCUGAUGCAGCGACGCCGCGUGAGUGAAGAAGUAUUUCGGUAUGUAAAGCUCUAUCAGCAGGGAAGAAAAAAGACGGUACCUGACUAAGAAGCCCCGGCUAACUACGUGCCAGCAGCCGCGGUAAUACGUAGGGGGCAAGCGUUAUCCGGAUUUACUGGGUGUAAAGGGAGCGUAGACGGCAAUACAAGUCGGAAGUGAAAUACCCGGGCUCAACCUGGGAACUGCUUUGGAAACUGUAUGGCUGGAGUGCUGGAGAGGUAAGCGGAAUUCCUAGUGUAGCGGUGAAAUGCGUAGAUAUUAGGAGGAACACCAGUGGCGAAGGCGGCUUACUGGACAGUAACUGACGUUGAGGCUCGAAAGCGUGGGGAGCAAACAGGAUUAGAUACCCCAGUAU
rnacentral:rRNA from 1 species